GAUGAACGCUGGCGGCGUGCCUAAUACAUGCAAGUCGAGCGAACAGAUGAGGAGCUUGCUCCUCUGACGUUAGCGGCGGACGGGUGAGUAACACGUGGAUAACCUACCUAUAAGACUGGGAUAACUUCGGGAAACCGGAGCUAAUACCGGAUAAUAUAUUGAACCGCAUGGUUCAAUAGUGAAAGACGGUUUUGCUGUCACUUAUAGAUGGAUCCGCGCCGCAUUAGCUAGUUGGUAAGGUAACGGCUUACCAAGGCAACGAUGCGUAGCCGACCUGAGAGGGUGAUCGGCCACACUGGAAGUGAGACACGGUCCAGACUCCUACGGGAGGCAGCAGUAGGGAAUCUUCCGCAAUGGGGGAAAGCCUGACGGAGCAACGCCGCGUGAGGGAUGAAGGUCUUCGGAUCGUAAAACUCUGUUAGUAGGGAAGAACAAAUGUGUAAGUAACUAUGCACGUCUUGACGGUACCGAAUCAGAAAGCCACGGCUAACUACGUG
rnacentral:rRNA from 1 species